UUUUUUUUUUAAGAUUUUAUUUAUUUGACAGACAGAGAUCAUAAGUAGGCAGAGAGAGAGAGAGGAGGAAGCGGGCUCCCUGCCAAGCAGAGAGCCUGACUCGGGGCUCAAUCCCAGGACCCUGGGAUCAUGACCCAAGCCAAAGGCAGAGGCUUCAACCCACUGAGCCACCCAGGUGCCCCAGGUUUUACAAUUCUUAACCUCUCUGAGAUAAAUGGGAGAAUCCAACCUUUUCUAUGGGGAAAGCAUUCAAAGUGGAUUGGGGGGUACUUUCUUUUUCUACUACCCCAAAAGGCCUUUUUCUGUCUGGCUCUGCUUUUUGCUCUCCCUGUUCUGAAACCAGAGGCCUCUUUGAAAGCUUCAGAAAUAAAAUCGUUAAGUCUGGGCUUUCUUUCCUUCCAUCUGACUUGGUCCUUAGUGUUUCAGGUGCUGUCUCAGGUAGCUGAGGAAGAGGAAGAGCCCCUGCCUGUGAAGAUCUGCUGGGUUCUUCUUGCGUCUGGGCUCCUGGUGUGCAUUUUUUCCUGUAAUCACCUUGUUCUCUGCAAGGCAACCCAGCAGAUUAUGAGGGAGAGAUUACCACAUCUUUCUGUUGACAAAGCCUGGGGCUACAUUUGGCCUUUGGGCCUCUUGCUUCCAGACUUUCCCCAUUAUGCCCUAUUGACUUCCAACCCAACGUUACUUGGACAGUUUGGUGUUUUUGAGGUUGGUGGGGAUAAUAUCCUUAUGACACAAAGGAAACAAGGGAGCAGGGAUCAGAGAUUAACCCAGGCACACAGGGCAGGGGUGAUCCUACAGGACUAGAGACUCCCCAGGGCACUCAUGGAGCAGUAAGAGAGUGGAAAGAGUUUGGCUCUGGUGGCUGGUAGGCAGAGUUGGGGUCACAUUAUAUUCCCUGACUGAUCUUGAGCAGAUGGUCUUUUUGUUUCUUCGUUAGUAAAAUAGGUGAUAGUCUCUGCCUUGCUGGUUAUUGGGUGACAGGUACCCAGAAUUGGUCCUAGUGUGGGAAGUAUUGGUGACAACUGUCCUAAAGUCUACACUCAAAAUAAGGUGGUCUACAUGUAGAGCUAGUAUGUCCCUGAGUUUCGACAUAGAAUAUUCUGUUUAAUUUAUUUAAGAAGUACAGUUGUGAGUUUUGACAAAAAUCAUAGGAUUAGGUAUAUCCUACAACUAUUCUAAAACUUACCUGUUCUGGAGUGCGUGGCCCCAGCUUCUGUGUUAGAAACAGGUGGUCUUUGAAUCCUUCCUUGUUGAGUGCAUCUGGUUUGAGAACAUCCCUUUAGGAACCUCCCUGUAUCAUGGUGUGGUUGUUCCAUUGGUUCUCAGGUUAGUGUGAAAUCCCACAUUGGGUAGAUCAAAAGGCAUAGCUGUACUAACCAUAGUUUAAGUGGGUUGAAGCUCUUCAGCUUCAGGUUCACUGAAUCUUGUAAAACUAACAAGCAAUUUUAGAUGGUUCUGAGAGAAUUUCAUUUUUUCUUUAAAUUGAGAUAGAGGACACAUACUGAAGGGUGCUACUUGAUAACAUUUACCCAAAUGUGAACACAUCCUUACAGCUUGAUUCAAGAAACAGCCUUGAAACCCCCUUACGCCUGCUUAUUGUCACCACCACAAGGGUAACCAGUUUCUUGGCUUCUAAUAGCAUAGGUUAGUUUUUCCUGGUUUUGCAUAAUACAUAAUGGUAUUACACAGUCUGUACCCUUUGCUUGCUUUCAUUCAACUGUUUGUGAGAUUUAUCUACAUUGAGUUUAGCGGUAGUUAAUUCAUUUUCAUUGCUGCAUGGUAUUCUGUGUCUAGAAUUUCUCUUUGGCUUUGUUUCACAACUGCUUCGUUUUCUUUUACACUGUUCUGUUCUUUUUUUUUUUUUUUAAGAUUUUAAAAAUUCAUUUGAGUUAGAGUGCAUGCAAAUGAAAGCAUGAGUGGGGGGAGGGUCAGAGGGAGAGGGAGAAGUAGACUUGGGGCUUGAUCCCAGGGCCCCAGGGUCAUGACCUGAGCAGAAGGCAGACAUUUAACCUACUGAGACAUCUAGGCGCCCCUCAGGCUAUCUUAUGACUCAAAUUGGACAUGUUGAAGACUAAAGGGAGUUUCUGGUAGCUUCUAGGAGAGAGAAUUUUCUUUAAGGAAGUGGCUGAUGAAUUAAAAUCACCAAGAUAAAACUUUUUUUUUACUACAUUGGUGUGAUGUGUAGCAUACAUAGGAAGACCAAAGGGUAAAAUCAGUUCUUUCCCUCUCAACAGUUCCCCUCUCCAUCUCUGGCAGCUUUUCUGUUUUAGGCUCCCAGUUUGUGUGUAUUUUAUUUUCAAAGUAAAUCAAAGCUGGAGGGUAAUUUCCAGCAACAAUUGAUUGAGGAGAGAUUUUCACCCCCCUCAACUAUAAAACAGGACGAAAUAAGCCCAAAAAUGUCAAUCAUUUCAACACUUUGGAAAUUGAUCAGAGGCAUAUAAUGAUCUGAGAAGUGUUUGUGCUUAAGGAACUACUGAAUUUUGGGUAAGAAUAGUGAGAAUAUGUGAGGAUUUAGCCUGGGGCUCUUUCCAUUCCCUCUCCCCAGUUCUGGUAGGGAACUUCUGCCUGGCAGGUGCAGGCUAUGAAGACCAGCCCCUUUGCAGGAUUGAGAAGGGGCUCAUUCGAUUUAGGAGAGCUGUGGACAGUAGCCCUGAAACCUUGGCCUUAUUGGUUGGAAUGACAGUCUUAGAGGUGGGAAAUGGGGAAGGACAAUGACUCUGUUAGCCCAGGAUUGCAGUCAUGGUUGGGGCAAGACAAAAACUGAAGAAAUAAUGUUCAAGAACAUACGUGAGGAGAAUUCCUGCCUGCUCUCAUUCAAAAAGUUCAACAGACCUCAAGUAGCGGAAACACAAAGUGAUCUGUACCUAGACACAUUAUAGAUAGUCAAGAUGUUACAAGCCAGAGAAAAAGAAAAUCUUAAAAGUAGCAAGAGAAAAAGGGCUUAUUACAUACAGGGGAGCAUUCAUAUGAUUAACAACAGCUGGCUUCUCGCCCAAGAUAAAAGCUGAAUGGUAUUCAUGAGCGCUCAAGGAAGAAAACUGUCAACCUGGAAUUCUGUGUCCAGCAGAACUCCUUCAGAAAUGAAGGCAAAAAAGACAUUUUCAGGUAUAGUCCGAAAGAAUCCACCACUGGCAGACCUGCCAGUUCUUCAGGCUGAAAGAAAAUGACAUGUUGGUAACUUAGGUUCCCAGGAAGAAAAGAGCACUAGAAAUGGUAAAUGUGUGGGCUAACAUAAAAAACUUUAUUCUUAUUUCUUCUUAAAACACGUAACACUAUGUAAAGUGUUAACUGUAACUAACAUUGGUCAUAGAAUAGACCAAAAUAACCAUUUCAUCUCUGUGGAAAUUGACCAAAGCAUACCAAAGUCUGUUGUGUUUAUAAUGGUGACAGAUAUGUCAGAGAAUAAUAGUACAAAACAGGAGGAAUGAAAUGGAGCUCCAUUGGGGUAAAAUUUUUCUACAUUUUACUGGAAUCAAGUUAAUAUUAAUUUGACGCAGAUUGUGGUUAAUUAAUAAGAUGAUCAUUGUAAUCUCUAGGGCAACUAUUAAGAAUAACUUUAAAAUACAGUUUAAAAAAUCAGAAGAAUUUAGUUGUAUACUAAGAAAUGUAUAACACAAAAGCAGACUGUCAAUGAGGAACAACAAAAAAGGAAUGUAUGUACAACACAACUAGCAAAAUGACACAUUAACACAUAUAAAUCCAAUCAGAUCAAUUACUGUUUUAAAUGUGAGGGGUCUAAAAACCCCAGUUAUCAAGGCAGAGGUUAUCAGACUAGAUAAAAAAAAAAGCAAGAUCCCACUUAAUUGUAUAUUGUCUAUAAAAGACACUUACUAGUUUUAAGGAUGCUUUAUCCUUUGGUAAAAUAAUAGGAAAAGCUAUACUAUAAGUAACCAUAGGAAAGCUAGAGUGACUGUUACCAAUGUCAGAUGAAAUUAACUAUAAGACCAAAAAAUAGUACUAGAGCCAAAGAGCGACAUUUUAUAAUUAUUUAGCAGGGAGACAGACAUACCAGUCAAAAGUUUAUAUCAACCUAAGAAUAGAACCCCAAAAUACCUGAGAUAUAAACUGAUAAGGUAGUAGAAAUCACAUUUUAUCAAUUAUUGUUAGAGAAUUCAGUAUUCCACUCUUAAUUGGUAGAGCUACUAAAUAGAAAAUUGUUAAGGUUCUAGAAGACUCAGAGAACAUUGUUGAUCCAUUUGGCCUAACAGGAAUCUAUAGAGCACCAGUGACUACGGAAAACAGAAUACAUCUUUAUACAUGCUCAUGGAACAUUCUCCAGGGUAGACCAAAGGCUGGACCAUUAAGCAACUCUCAGGGAUGGUUUUGUUUUUGUUUUUGUUUUUUUAAAGAAAAAAAAAAACCACAAUAACAAGUGUUGGUGAUGUGGAGAAGGUGGAACCCUCAUACUUUGCUAGUGGAAAUGUAAAAUGGCAUAACAUUCAGCGGUUUCUUACAAAGUUACACAUGAACUUAACACAGACCCUGCUUUCUAUCCAAGGAACAUACUCAAGAGAAAUGAUAAAAACGUGUGUCUACACAAAGACAGGUACGUGGGUGUUCACAGCGUAAUUCAUAAUAACUGAAAGAUGGAAACAAUCCAGAUAGCCAGGCAAAGAUAGAUAAAACAUGCUAUAGGGGCGCCUGGGUGGCUCAGAGGGUUAAAGCCUCUGCCUUCAGCUCAGGUCAUGAUUCCCAGGGUCCUGGGAUCGAGCCCCACAUCAGGCUCUCUGCUCAGUGGGGAGUCUGCUUCUCCCUCUCCCUCUGCCUAUUUCUCUGCCUACUUGUGAUCUCUGUCUGUCAAAUAAAUAAAUAAAAUCUUAAAAAAAAA